UAGCAUGAAGUCAGACAAGAGAACCCGCUGAAUUU
rnacentral:rRNA from 1 species